rnacentral:lncRNA from 1 species
GGUCACUGGAGGAUGAGGAUGGAGCGCGUACCUUUCAGGGGCGUUGCGAGGAGUGUAAGAACAAAGUAAAUAAAGUGCUUAGUGUGUAGUAGAGGACUGGAAACGACGUGAAUCUCUUACUGGAGCGCAUUCGUACCGUGGAAUCUCGCAGAGCGGCUAACGAAGAAGCAUUGUUAGGUGGAAAAGCAAGUUGCAAAAUAGUAUGUGCAGUAAGAUCUCGUUUAUGUAAACACCCCCCCCCCACACACCCACACUUGGUUUUCCCCGUUUCAAUAGAUACCUUUUCAGUAGAUGGACAGGGGAAAGUCGGGGAGAUCAUAUGUUAUGCUGUUGAUGGGAGGGCGCAACUGAAUUACGGGAGUUUCUCCUUUAUGUGUUUCUGUAUUGUUUAAAUCUCCCUCCCCCCUUUAUUUCGAUGGUCUGUGUCACAUUUUUUUGUUCAGAGAGCAAUUAAGGAAAUUUUCAAAAUCCAUACGUUUCAGGAGUAUUGUAAGAGUAGUGAUGUAAGGGAUAAAUUUGUGUCAUUCAUUCAUACGUACCUGCGGAUAAAUGGCUUAGACAGGUGUCUCUGUGAGCUCUUCGCUGGCACCCAAAGUCCGGGAUGUGUUUUGGAAUUCGGAAGUUUUCAAAUUUGAGAACGAUAAUACAGUACACAUGGUAUAUCAAGUGACCCCACCAACAAAAUUUGCAGCAAUAGAUAAUAAUCAAACGUAUUAAUUACAUUUUUUCUCACGGUGUAGGACACCUACAGAAAUACACAUGGUUCGUACAGCUUGAUGAAUAUUUACAAACUGAAUCCAUACAAAAAUGUUUUUGCUGUAAAACAUGUGAACAUUUCCAUUUAGUGAGAUAAAUGGAGACUAUAAAUACGCUCAUAUCAGUAGGCCAGGGAGUAAAAGCCUGGGAGCUUGGGAUUUCAGAGCUGAGGAUAAGGAGCUAUGGACCUGUUUGGGCAGAAAAAAGAGAGUCACAGGAGCAAGGAGAUCAAGGACAGCCGAAAAAAGAUUUCAAGGCCAGGAAAGGCCAGGAGCAGGCUUGUGUUUGCUCAUGCACUGCCUCCCUCCUCCUUUUUGCUCCUUCCCCAGGAGGCCUCGUCCAGAUGCCCACCCGGCUGCCACAGGAGAUUCCUCUGGGAGACUGAGGGGCAGGCUCGCAGGCCCAGAUUGAGGCCAACCAGUCCUUAGGGCAGGGG